rnacentral:snRNA from 1 species
GUCCCACUACGGUGGGACAUAUAAUAAAAUUGGAACGAUACAGAGAAGAUUAGCAUGGCCCCUGCGCAAGGAUGACACGCAAAAUCGUGAAGCGUUCCAUAUUUUU